rnacentral:lncRNA from 1 species
AAAUUAGAAAUUUUUUAUUGGAAGGUGUAGUCAACCAAUUUUGCCCGGGCCCAUUUAAUUUAUUUGCAAAUAAUAAACCCGAAUAAAUAAAUAAAAUCCAAAGACUAAAUAGUCCAGUAAAGUCCCUUUACAAUUUUCAAAAUGCAUGUACCAAAAUAACUCAUGACCCAACAAAUUUUAAAACCCAAUUCUAUAAACCCAGGCCCUAAAUCUAGCCCAAACCCGAAAAAGCCCAAAAAGGAAAAGUAUUCCAGCAGCCAAGCACCAGAAGCUUCUGGAACGUGCCAGAACAGUGCCAGGGAGUUGGGUUUCACGAGCGGAUUCCUCGCACAGUUUCGUUCAAGCGUGCUUCUCCCCGUUUCUCCGUACGGCCAUUGCUCCAUACCUGCAAAAGAAUGUACGAGAAGAAGCAGCAACAGAAUGUACAGCCAAAUGACAGAGGGAAAAUGUAUUUUUAUUUUUCAUUUAUUCUGUAAAUUUGGGCUAUAAAAGCCAUUAUUUGUACCUUGAUUUUUUACACACACACACAGAAUAUACUAUACGCAUACAAUAUCUGUACACACGCACAGAGAAGAGAGAAGCGAUUUAAGAUCAAUAGAGGUGAUUUCAUUUUUUUUCUCUUCCGAUUUUUUUUCGUUUUUUCUAUUCUCUUUAUUUUCUUAUUUGUUUGCUUAUUUUUUAUGCAACUUAAGGCCGACGAAAGCUCUAAAUCUGCCAUGCGAAUAUAAGGGCGAGAGGUCACAUAAUAGUGGAAAUCUAUUCAUUUUACAAAUCUGUCUUCAUUUUUUUUCUUUAAAAAAUAACAUGAGAUUUGAAAGCUCCAUUCAAAUAAAGAAGAAAGAAGGGAAAAUACUUAUCGAAUCCUUUUAGAUCAGGUCGAGCUCCUUUAACGGCAAGAUUGGGCAUGUCUCGCUUACUAGUAAUCACCUAAAAGCAUGGUGGUUUGGUAGUCAAGUGAAGAAAACCCUAAAAAAAUUGAUUUUAAAGGCUGGAAUUUCUUUUGAUCUAAGUGGGGGUUGUGUUUGAGGAAUGAAACAGAAGAGGAUAGGUCUUAAAUGACUAGGUGACUAUGCGGCGCCGUUUCAAAGCGCAAAGGCCCGCGCGUCAACCCGUUUUGGUAGGCCGGGUAUGCGCAUGGUUGGGGUGAAUGGGGAAAUUGCGUGACGGAUCCCUCCCCUUUGCGCGCAGUCCUCAAUUUUCGCCUGAUUCGCCUAUUUUAUGUUUUAAAAUUGGCCCGUUAGUUCGUAUAUGGUUUCAAUUGGAUUCGUGGUUUAUUGCUGCAUUGUGAGCAUGGGAUAUUUUCAAUACUAGUCCUCACAUGUUUGUGCGCAUGGCACAUUGAUUCUAUUUUGUAAUUAUUUUAUUUGCAAAUUGUUUCUCCUGUUUUAAUUUUGCUUCAAUUAAGUAUUAUUCUCAUUUUACUGCAUAUAUAUUUUUUAUAUGAUUGAUUAUUGGUUAAGAUAUUUCAUAUGGUUUUGAUAAUUGAACUCUCC